rnacentral:rRNA from 1 species
GACAUAGGGCGCGAGCGUUGUCCGGAUUUAUUGGGCGUAAAGAGUUUGUAGGCGGUUUGUCAAGUGAGGUGUGAAAGCCCUCGGCUUAACCGAGGAAUUGCGCUUCAAACUGUCGGGCUCGAGGGAGAUAGAGGUGAGCGGAACUGAUGGUGGAGCGGUGAAAUGCGUUGAUAUCAUCAGGAACACCAGAGGCGAAGGCGGCUCACUGGGUCUCUUCUGACGCUGAGAAACGAAAGCUAGGGGAGCAAACGGG